rnacentral:rRNA from 1 species
AACGAACGCUGGCGGCAUGCCUAACACAUGCAAGUCGAACGAGACCUUCGGGUCUAGUGGCGCACGGGUGCGUAACGCGUGGGAACCUGCCCUUAGGUUCGGAAUAACUCCCCGAAAGGGGUGCUAAUACCGGAUAAUGUCUUCGGACCAAAGAUUUAUCGCCUUUGGAUGGGCCCGCGUUGGUUUAGCUAGUUGGUAGGGUAAAAGCCUACCAAGGCGACGAUCCAUAGCUGGUCUGAGAGGAUGAUCAGCCACACUGGGACUGAGACACGGCCCAGACUCCUACGCGAGGCAGCAGUGGGGAAUAUAGGACAAUGGGCGAAAGCCUGAUCCAGCAAUGCCGCGUGAGUGAUGAAGGCCUUAGGGUUGUAAAGCUCUUUUACCCGGGAUGAUAAUGACAGUACCGGGAGAAUAAGCACCGGCUAACUCCGUG